GACGCACGCUGGCGGCGUGCUUAACACAUGCAAGUCGAACGGAGUGCUUAACGGGUGAGUAACACGUGGGUGAUCUGCCUUGCACUUCGGGAUAAGCUUGGGACACUGGGUCUAAUACCGGAUAGUGCAAGAUGAGCUCGCGGCCUAUCGGCUUGUUGGUGGGGUAAUGGCCUACCAAGGCGUCGACAGGUAGCCGGCCUGAGAGGGUGUACGGCCACAUUGGGACUGGGCUACGGCCCAGACUCCGACGGGAGGCAGCAGUGGGGAAUAUUGCACAAUGGGCGGAAGACUGAUGCAGCGACGCCGGGUGGGGGAUGAAGGCCUGCGGGUUGUAAACUCCUUUCGACAGGGACGCGGUACCUGGAUAAGAAGCACCGGCUAACUACGUGCCAGCCGCCGCGGUAAUUC
rnacentral:rRNA from 1 species